GUCGUGCUGCUUGGAGAUCAGAGAGGGAGAUGGGUCUGAUGAAUGCCAUUGGCCUCCAACCUCGGAACCUAAGCACAUCUGUGACAUCGCAGGGCACACAGACACCAACUCCACAACUGCAGAAUGCUGAAACCCAGACUGAACGAGAAGUACCAGAGACCCGGCCUGCAUUGCCUGGCGGUGUUGGUUCCAGUGGAGAACAGACAGCAGCUUCCAGCAGUACAGAUAUCCCUGGAACAGCAGCUGAGUCACAGGAAGGGAAUGCAGAAUCUGUGGAGACUUCUGUGUCAGCAGCCAUUGUCUCCCCUCACACUCUGCCCCUUGGUGUCCUACAGGAGAGGGGCAGGAGGAUGCGCUGAGUAGGAUCCAGCGGCUCAUGGCAGAAGGAGGAAUGACCGCAGUGGUUCAAAGAGAGCAGAGCACAACUAUGGCUUCUAUGGGGGGCUUCGGCAACAACAUCAUCGUGAGCCACAGAAUCCACCGUGGUUCCCAGACUGCAAUUGAAGCUGCUUCCCGGACCUCGACCAUUCACGACUCUGGACCAUAUUCCCCACAGCCAUCCACCUCCAGAGACACAGCAGCCGAGCUUGAGCGACGCUUCUCCUCAACUCAGCCAAGCCCACCUCUGCUUCUUGAGAUGAAUAACAAUGACGGUGACAUUUACUUGCAGCCUCCCAGUAAUGGGGUAGAAAGGUAGAACAGUGGAACUACCACAAGGACAGACCCCUCCCUACCUUUUAAAAUGGUGGGGCUUUCAAGCUGUGGACAAUGGUGCUAUAGACUUGGAGGGGUAUCCAUUUGGGUAUCUGGCCCUCCAAAAUGGGGGAAGUGCAGACAUUAGGAUGAGAAAUAUAAGCAUAGCAGCUACAUUUCUCAUACUGCUUUCUCCCUAACUUUGCACUCUCUCUUAAUGCUGGCAAUGACCAGAACACAGAGACGGCCAUUUCCCCAUCCCCUUCUUUCUUUUCUUUUUUUUUUUUUUUUCUUAUGCUGAAUGAACUUCUGUAAUGUUUGCUCCCUCCUGGGAUUUAAAGAUAAAAUAUAAAAAUAGCCUUACAAAAUGAAUUGUAAGAUUAGGACCUCUUAUAUCCAUCCAAAAUACUCAUUCAUCUGUUUUAUUUUAAUCCAAAUUUUUGCCAGAAGUGAGCACUAAAGUUACCCACAGGUCAGUUUAGGUACAAGGAGCUGCUAUAUGACUGUUACUGCCCUUGUUUAAGAAAGGAGAAAUGCAUGCACUACAAAAUGGUGGGGGCCCUAUUCUGUGCCUCUGUUUCACCAGGCAUACAUGUUUAAGGUGCCCUGUACCCUGACAAUAUCUUACAACAUUGGCAAAAGGGCUGUGAUAUGCUGGAACCCUCCUGCCUUUGUAAGGAUUCAGAUGAGGGCUCUUUUACCAUGAAUGCAGAACCAGUUAGCUCCUGGUGGUUACAAGCCCAUAGCCAGUUUCACCACUAACUUGACUUUUUGGUUGCCAAAUAGGUCCUUAAAUAUGCUUUGGAUGGAUGUUUCUGCUCUGGUGUCUUUUCUCUUUUUUUUUUUUUUUUUUUUUUGAUGAUGAUUAUUUUGAUUGUAUUUGUUUUUGUAACAGUGACUUGGCUUAACCUUACUGGUCUAAUCCCAUACCCUCUAAGCAAUGUAUGUUUGAUGUGUAAUGAAUUGUGUGUGUCCCAAUCCUGCCUGUUAAUACAGGUUUUGUUCUGCACCCUAAGUAAGACUGUCGGUCCAAACAAACCCCAAACCCUGCCAAAGGCCAGUAGAGCUUCAUAUGUGCUAAUGCCGAUGCUCAAUUACAAUCACCAGUGUGUGGAAGGCAUAGGCAUUAUCAUAAGUGGCUGCACAUCUAACCCAGUAGCUCCUUGUAUAUAUGAGAUUUGGGCUCGCUCUUCUGGAUGUUAAAUCACACUGGCAUACCAUAUGGUGAUGUGCUAGAUAUUUGUCUAGUGUGCACCGUACAGCUGGUAACAGUAUUUAUGAUGAAUGUUACAGAAGGGGCUGGGUUAUAUUAAGCUCUUGCAUGUAAAAAUAACGUGAAAAUUUAGUUUCUACAGAAAUAACGAGAGCCACAACAGUGAUUCCUUCCUUUUUACUACACUGCCGGCUCUCUUCAUUUGCAGCUGCUCCCUUUACAUUUAUAGUGACCUAGGGGGUGUCUUUCUUGAAGCUUGUGAAGCUGUACACUAACAGACAGUAUGCACUUAUUAAAUUGAUGUGCAGCCAAGUUCUCCUGUUUACCUUUUCAUGCUACUGUUUUUGAUUAUCACACCAAUUAUAUUACCGGUUAUAUAGACAGGCUGCCUUUAUUAGUUCUAUGCAGCUUUAAUCCAAUAAUAGCUGUUCUUAUUCACUAAUGCAGAGUGUUGCUUUAAUACUGCUGUAUCGUUCCUCUGCAGAAAGUUGCACUUAAUGUUUUGAGCCAGUAAGUACUGGAGAGCAUUACUUCAGUACAGUCUCUCAUAUCAUUACAAUCUGCAGAGCAUCACUCCAGUGCCCCGCUGUAACAUUUAAAGAUUUGCAGAGCAUUGCUCCAGUAGUCUGUAAUGCUUGGUUGGUUUUGGUCUUAAAUUCUGUGUAACACGAUGCUUUGCAAAGCAUCAUUCCGAUAACCUAUUGUGACCUUUAGGGCAUGACUCAAUCCAUGUAACAAUUGUUGAAUCAGCAGAGCAUUGCUCCAGUAAAACCUGUGAUACCAACAAACUCUAGAGCCUCAUUUCAGAAACUAUGAUAUUGCUAAAUAUAUGCUGUGAGUGGGACAUCUGUUUAUUUCACUUAUGUUCACUGAAUUUAGUAAUGAAAAGGUUAUCUUCAGCUUGCCUAGACCUUUAACCUGCCUGCUUGUGUGGCUCUUCUGAACUUUUGAAUUGUUGUUAUGCGGCCAUUUUGGAGCCUGUGUUAUUUUAAUUGGCUCCUUGUUUCUGGCAGGUGACAGUUCUGCUCCCUAAAUCCUUGGCCAAUAUAGUGCUAGUUAGUUGCUGGCCUCUUGAGCCUUGGUAAUUGGUCGCAGUUGAGAGCUUUGGCAGAAUGAGGCCAACAGAGACAGGCAGCUGUAUCCCUCGCCCCAGGACAACCAGGCCUGCAUUCAGCAGUAGGUUUAUGACUAUUAUAAUUCUUACUUUUUAAUUCAUCUAGGAAACUCUACGACCAAAGGAUAAUCCCAUCCAUGACACAUUCAUACUUUUGUGUUUUCUCUCUCUAAUUAGUUGCAAACAUUCUUCUUGUGGUCCUUUUUCUAUCUAUAAACUGUCCUCUCAUAUGCACUGUCACAUCCCUACAUCGCUCUUAUCACCUACAUGCUGCUUUGCAUUCUUUACCCUUCCAGUACUUACACAUUAAAAUACAUUUUCACUGAUUCAUCCUCUUAUUGUAAUGUAGUCAUGACUGCAUAUACUUUGUUCCUCUAUGAUGCUUUCACAAUGUCAUUUGUCUACACAUAAUCACUUUGUUACUUUGAUGUCCCAUGUUAUGCCCUUAAACACUAACUACAUUCAGUUUCUCUCUGAUACUAACAUACUGUUGCUUAUCUGUCCUCUGUAUGUAAACUUAUUUUAAAUUAUUGCCGCUUAAUAAUAGCCCAAUGAAUCUAUAUUCUUUCAUUGUAAAGGUUACAGUAGUAUUUUGCUCUUUUCUUACCAUGAAUUCUUUUUUUGAUGCCUAAACUGAUUUAGUUCCUCUGAUUCCCAGGCUUUCAGUUGCUCUGACGUUUGCAAAAAAACGGCACAUUCUCUUAUUCAGGCCCUCUCAUAUCUUCAGCGUUGCUCAUUCUCCUCUUGUGAUGUCUAUGCUAUCAUUUAUUUUGACCUUCUCUGAAGACUGUAUAUACCUGGGUUCAGUCCUUUAAACAUUCUGCUUCUCUGUCACACCCUCUCCAAUGCCUAUACACUAUCACUGAUUCUGUUCCACUUUUGCCGACUCUGUCAAUCAUUCCCUUCUUCUAAUGUCUGUGUCCUCUCUAAUUCCGACACACUGUCAUCAGUCCUGUACAACUUUUUACCUACUGUUGCCUACAUUCUUGAAUGUCUACAAGCAGUUGUUUUUUUUUCCUCUGAUAUCUUUGCUGCCACUUUUUCUUUCCUUCAUUAAAUCUUACACACCUUCCAUUGUUAUGGUGCAGUCAUAUUGAUACCUACACACAUUGUUCCUUCCCAACUGGUUCCUAUAGUGUUAAUUGUUCUGUCCAGGUAUGAUAUGGAAAUAAUGUAUCUGUCUCUUUCCAAUAUCUGCACAUUGUUUAAUUGAUGCCUACACACAUUCACAUGUUUUUUCAUUCCCUUGUUUGUAGUUUCUGUCUCUAGACAGUAGCCUGAUAUGCUACUAAGGAGUUCAUGAAUACUAAAAGACUGUUCCAGGUGCCAGAUAAGAUUGUUAAGUUUUAGUCUUUAAAUGACUUGGGAUGCUUAUUUUUUUAAAUAGCCCUUGUAACAGCAAUGCUGCCAUCAAUCGAUUAUCUAAAAAAGUAUUUUUCCUGCAGAUGUUACAGGUCUGUUUAAAGAUUCAAUGGGAAAAAAAAGAUGGACCCUAAUUUACAAAGAGUAUUUUUAUAGCAAGGAGUUAUGUCUCAUACUUCGUUGAAUGCAGUGUUCUAGUUUGUGCCUAUGCCUAAUGAAUUGUCACAUACUAAUAAGCAAAGUGUGCUUGAUGUUUCUGAAAUUAUAUUUAGCCUUUCUCACAGAAGCUGUGAUAUAUUUUCCAAAGUUAAAUGCAUGAACAAUUGUAGUUACUUCUCUGGUAAGACAUGCACUUUAGCCGAGAAACUCUGGGGCAAACACAUGAUUCAAUGGUAACCCUUUUUUCUUUUCUUUUUUUUUAAAUCUGUAUCUUCUAAGUAUCUAGACAUAUUUAUUGCAAAAAGUGGAGGGAAGAGUGUUUUUCUUCUACAUCUGCCAGAAUUAAGACGUCAGCAACUCCUAAUUUUCAUUUAUUUUAUUAAGGCAGUUUUCUAAGACAUCAGGAUCCAGUGAGCGCUUUCACUCUCAAGCAUGGAAAGCACAGUACCAGUCUAAAAGUAGAAGAUGUAGGCGUCCAUUCGCUCAGUCUUCAAGCACGUCAGCAUAACAGGUUGUUGGCAGUUGGUGGAUUCUAUAGCAAACUUUGUAAAUGCCUGUGCCACCGUCAAAAGACAAUGCAUGGGCGCUUUAGAAAUUUGAUAUAGUAGAAUUCAAACAUCAUACUCUGAGAUCAUGUUUUCAGAAUUAUCCACUUCCACAGAGUCAAGAGAAGAAAUAGAUAAUUCUGUGGUCAUGCCCAUACUAUUAGAAUCACCUUGUGUGUUCCUCUUCACCACAGAAAAAGGAGAUUUCUAAUUCAAAAGAACAAAAAAAAAACAGUGCAAAAAAUGUUCUUGGCGGUUGAGAUCACAUCAGACCUGAAUCAGGUAGGUGUUCUACAACACAAGAUCAUCCACCUGAUAAGUUUCAUUCACAGUCUACUACCACUAAUUUUCUUGUCAGAACCCCAAUGACUCUUCAAGAGAAAUUGGCAUUCACUUUUUACAUAGUAAAGUGGGUAAGGUGGCAUAACCAAUUUUUUAACCUGCAAGACAGGAGCAAAGACUAUCUUUGUCCAGUCACAUCUCAUCUCUAGAAGCUAUAAACCAGAUCUAGCUGUUAGAACAAACUUGCUUUCCUGUUACUACAGACAAAAGCACCAAAUGUGGAAGGUAGCCUUCCAAAUCAGUAUGCUCUAGCAUUGUGAAUUUAUUUUUCAGAGGAAAAUAAAAUGCAAGUAAUUACAUACAACAUAGCAAUGUGUCCUACAUUUGUCUCAAAGGAGAAAAAAACAUUUUUUUCAAUUCAUUUUAUAGGCAAAAAAUAAUGUGGAUGACUUAAUAGCGGUUUAAAUUCUAGCCACACGAAAUCUCAUAACAAGUGACUUAAGCAUGUAUCAACGAGAAUAACAGCUCAGCAGAAUCAGAUUCCUUCAAUAAAAAUGUUAGGCUUCCCAGAAAUAAAUCUCAUGGUCUCUCCCAGCAACUUCUAGAUACCGAUAACCUCUCUCUAGCAGGAUAUGUUCAGAAGUGGCAGAUUAAACUUGGUUAUGAUUUCCCACCAGUCUUCCUAAAUCCAAUAUUAUGUAUGGAAAAAAAACUAACAAAAAGAAAAGGAGAAUCAUGGUGGUCUUGCAUUUUUGGAUAAGAAAGCCAUGAAGACACUGGCCCUAGAGCCACCUUGAUACCCUGUUUUACAUCAUGGGCCAGUGGAUCAUCCACAUCAGAAUAUCUUCAGUUAGCAGCAUGAUUGCUUAUUGGACAAGAUUUCAAUAGUUAGAUAUUUUUAAUACAGUUAUCAAGAGAUUGAUUCAAGCCAACAAAAAACCUCUUCCAAAACCAUUUGAGAUGUUUUCUAUAUCAAAUGCUUAUAUCUGAUUUUCUGGAAUUCCUCAACAGAAGUUAUUUACAGGAAAAGUGUAUAUCAUCUUGGCUGCUACUGGUACAAGGUCAGAUUUCAGCUGUUAAUUAUUAAUUUAUUUCAAGCCUUGACCCAUAUCCAGCAAAAAAUCAGAUCAUAUGUGUCUUCAUUGGACCUGUCUUUGGUUGUAGAUGCUUUAACUUUAAAACUACUUUAACCAUUUUGACACAUUGUUAGGAAUAUUGUUUUAAGAGUAUGAUUCCAUACUUUUAUUUUCCGUCUCUCUUCUAGGAGUAUCUCUAAAAUCCAUGCUUUUUUAGUUAAACAACCGUAUCUGGUCUUCCAUGAAGAUAAAGUGGUUCUCAGGGCUUUUCCAGAGUCCAUAAUUGUUGCCUUGGAUUUGAGAUAUAUAAAUUCAACCUUUUGUUCAAAGAAGAGUGUAAUGUAAAUUUGUACACACUCUGGGUGUUUGUUGUCUCCACAUUUAUGUAAAUUGUACAAAAGACUAGAGAGCACCAGAUUGACUAUGUGUCAUAGGACAAAGGCGUUGGAAAGGUUACGCUCCAGUCUAGAUGGACUGUGUAUUAUCAAGACCUACAAGUCCAAACAUAUUCCUCUUCUAACAUGGCUUAUUUUACUAAAGCUUUAUCCACCUUUUGUGCAUCAUUAACAGACCUUUGCAAUCAGCUGCUUGGAAAUCUACCUUUCUUUCACAUUUAUAAAUUGGAUAUCAGUCUGCAGAACCAAGAUUUGGCAGUUUUUUUUUACAUGCAGUUCUUUUCUCAUAAAUAAAUUGCUUUUGCAGCAUAGUUGUUUUGUUUCUUUAUUUUCCACUGAAAUGUUAAUCUAGGUUGAGUUAAGAUCAUUGGAAAUUAAAGCUAACAUAGAUAUUUCCACAUUUUGGCUCAAAUCUUUAGACAAUAGUCACCAGUAUUUAUUUUGUUUGUCCUUUUUGUGGCCUUCACAAAGAAUUAGAUACAGGGAUAAAGGGUCCAGGGACAGGUGGCGUUCUUGCCAUUCAUUCAAGGGGCAGGGGUUCUUCUCUGGUGAAUGUUGCAUAGAGAAAUGAGUCAUGAUAUGGAAAUAUCAUCAUUUUGGCAUUGAAUUCAGAUUUUUCCACAUCAAAAAAAAUCAGUGCUCUCAAUCCAAAAAACCAUCUAGCAGCUUCUGUAGCUUUUUAUUCAACUCUCUGUAACAUAUAAACUAUUGCAUCUAUGGUCUUUAGUAGUAUAUAAAAGGUCAGUGUGCAACAUUGCUGAUAUUCUUAGUUUUUAGAACUGGCUCUGCAUAUUUUACAUAUCUGAGAAACACCACAAAGUCAAAACAAAAAUACCAAUAAAUCUGCAUAUUAAAAGUGAUCAUGAAACCAAAUUUCCUGUAAGUCUAAAGCAAAUUAUUUUAUAGACCGUUUCUAUUCAUGGUAUAUGAAGUGUCAGAGUGAAACAAUGAGGAAGCCCAGUCAACCAAUGAUUUCAAGUAUAUGAAACCCAAUUUUUUUUUUCUUUCAUGAUUCAGUCAAAGCAUGAAAUUUUAAGCAACUUUCUAAUUUACCCCUAUUAGCAUUUUUUUCUUCUUUCUCUUGGUAUCUUUAUUUGAAAAUGCAGGUAGUAAAGCUUAGGAGCCAGACCUUUUUUGGUUCAGCACCCUGGGUGCUGAAAAAUUGAUAAUAGGAGUAAAUUAGAAAGUUGCUUAACAUUGCAUGCUCUAUCUGAAUCAUAAAAGAAAAAAAAAAUGGGUUUCAUAUCCCUUUAAAAGGAAAAAUGGGCACUUAGCCAGGCAAAUUAUGUUCCUUCUUAGUUCUUAUUGCAUGACAGCACAUAAAGUAAAGAAAAAGAUUUAUUGGUAAAGAAAAAAUAUAUAGAUUUGUCAUGUGUCAAAGCAUAUGAUGCUAAAUUUUGGAUCAGUAACAAUAUUAAUAAGUCAUGAAGGCUUGUUGGUACUUUAUGAAUCAAAAGUUUACAUUUAAAAUGUAAACCCUGUUUUUAUGAAUGCAUUGUGUAUUUUUGUGUGUAUCUAUUUAUGACCAAACAUUGAAGCUCUUCACAUGCACAUCGUUUAACGUGUCAAUUUUGGUGCUUACAAGUUAUUCGCACACACAGUUUGCUCUCCUUUUUAAUAAUGGGCAAUGAGGAUACAACAGAACUUAUGAAAUUAAUAUAGUUUAUAAAUUUAGAAGUGUAGCUGAGUGACUCAAUUUGCUGAUGGUGGUCAGCAAGACCUUCAAUCUUCUUUGCUUUAAAUCAAGUGAAUAAUUAAAUGGCACUAGUAGUUCUUACUAAUAAAAAUGUCCCCCCGUUCAAAAGCGACAAACCUAGAGGUAGAAGUCCACCUUUUCAGGUUGGUACAUGAUUCCUUAAUGUAACAUACUACUUUUUAUAUCCUCUUCUCCAAACAUACUCUUCUUUUUAUAUUCUCUUUUCCAAACAUGAUGAAAGGUUAUUUAUAGUGGUGUUAACCAAAAUUUGGUUUGAUGGCAUCCAGUAAGAACACUAGCUACUCCUUAGUUGAUGGAGGUAGAUGCUUUCUCUCAGACAUGGUACUUUAAACUGACCUAUGACUUCCACCAAUUCAACAAAUUCCUUAGCUGAUGUGCAGAAUCAAUUGGUAUCGAUAGUAUGUGAGCUUAGUUGGAUAGAGCUACUACAUAUUCCAAGUCCAGUAAGGGGAAAAAGUAUUAUUGUUUGUAUAUUGAUACAAUCUAAUUCGUGUGCAUUCAAAGGAAUUUCUGAGUAGAUAGGUCUUUAAAUCAUUGGCUUAUAUCUGUCCUUCAAAGAUUUCAAUUGCCCUACCUUGGUACUUACCUCUUGAGCGUUUCUAGAUGCACUUUUUGAACCUCUUAGCAAAGGUCUAUUUCUGGUUUCUGACACUUAAAACCAUUUCCUCAUACUUAUUUCUUUUUCAAGCAUGUUCAGUGGAAGAACUAUAGUUUGUACUUCAUAAGGACAAAGUAGUAUUGCAUACAAAUCCAGAUUUUUUGCCUAAGUUUUUUUGUUUUCAUGCUUUCAAAGAUAUUGUCUUACCCUGUUGUCCAGAAGGCUAUGAAUAAAUACCUGUAGAGAUUGGAUGUUUUCACAUGCCUACACUAUCAUGUUAACAGAAUAAAACAAAUUCUCUGUUAUUCCACAAGUACACAGUAAAGGCUCUGGCUAGUUUGUAUUUAUAAAGCUUAUAAAUCCAAUGGAGUACUAGAUAUAGCUGGGGUCAAGGCUUAUUCUACAGCGACAUUUUCAAUUUAUCUGGCAUUGGAAGCAGAUGUAUUUUCGGCUGAACUGUGUCAGGCAGCUCUAUGGAAGAACUCCUAAUACUUUUCUUUCCCGCUACAAAAUGGAUAAUUGGUAAUCGGCCUUUACAAAAUUUGGGCGGAUAAUAUUGAAUUUUAAUGUCUCAAUAAAUAUUUAUUAUGUUAAACAGCA